GAUGAACGCUGGCGGCGUGCCUAAUACAUGCAAGUCGAGCGAAUGGAUUGAGAGCUUGCUCUUAUGAAGUUAGCGGCGGACGGGUGAGUAACACGUGGGUAACCUGCCCAUAAGCCUGGGAUAACUCCGGGAAACCGGGGCUAAUACCGGAUAACAUUUUGAACCGCAUGGUGCGAAAUUGAAAGGCGGCGUCGGCUGUCACUUAUGGGUGGAUCCGCGUCGCAUUAGCUAGGUGGUGAGGUAACGGCUCACCAAGGCAACGAUGCGUAGCCGACCUGAGAGGGUGAUCGGCCACACUGGGACUGAGACACGGCCCAGACUCCUACGGGAGGCAGCAGUAGGGAAUCUUCCGCAAUGGACGCAAGUCUGACGGAGCAACGCCGCGUGAGUGAAGAAGGGUUUCGGCUCGUAAAACUCUGUUGUUAAGGAAGAACGCCAGGUAGAGUAACUGCUACCUGUGUGACGGUACUUAACCAGAAAGCCACGGCUAACUACGUGCCAGCAGCCGCGGUAA
rnacentral:rRNA from 1 species